UAAAAUAACAUAAAGUAAAUAUCCAUAUGAAAAACAGAAAUAUGAGUGAAUGUGGUAGAUGCAAAAAAUGAUAAUGGCAGCUGGUUUGUGUUUGACGACGAGUCAAGAAGGCAGCAAGGCGGAGUAAAAGAGGAGUCCGGUGGCAACAACAGCACAAGCGAGGGCGGAUGACCGGAAAAGUCGCGCCAGCGUGGGGGUCUUAUCACGUAGAGACAUGGCGACGAGGGCGGCGGUGAAGCCGAAAUUAAGGGGAAUGAGAAAGGCGUGGAAGAGCGCGGGCUUGUUCUUGAAAAUGGGGACCGGUACAGGGUUGCCGUCGAUGUAGUCGUAGCGCAACCGCACGAGCGCGAGUGCCGUCGCGAUUCCGAGCAAGAAGACGAGGUCUUCGACGGAAGAUAGGUGGAGCCAGUAUUUGAGCAUGUUUGAA
rnacentral:lncRNA from 1 species